rnacentral:tRNA from 1 species
AGGGGCGUAGCCAAGCGGUAAGGCAACGGACUUUGACUCCGUCACCCGUGGGUUCGAUUCCCGCCGCCCCUGCCA